GGGGAUGUAGCUCAGUGGUAGAGCGCAUGCUUUGCAUGUAUGAGGCCCUGGGUUCGAAACCCCACAUCUCCA
rnacentral:tRNA from 1 species